rnacentral:rRNA from 1 species
AUUGAACGCUGGCGGAAUGCUUUACACAUGCAAGUCGAACGGCAGCACGGACUUCGGUCUGGUGGCGAGUGGCGAACGGGUGAGUAAUACAUCGGAACGUGCCCAGUCGUGGGGGAUAACGUAGCGAAAGCUACGCUAAUACCGCAUACGAUCUAAGGAUGAAAGCGGGGGAUCGCAAGACCUCGCGCGAUUGGAGCGGCCGAUGGCAGAUUAGGUAGUUGGUAGGGUAAAGGCCUACCAAGCCGACGAUCUGUAGCCGGUCUGAGAGGAUGGUCAGAGACACUGGGACUGAGACACGGCCCGGACUCCUACGGGAGGCAGAAGUGGGGAAUUUUGGACAAUGGGCGCAAGCCUGAUCCAGCAAUGCCGCGUGUAGGAAGAAGGCCUUCGGGUUGUAAACUGCUUUUGUACGGAGCGAAAAGGCUCCCUCUAAUACAGUGGGCUCAUGACGGUACCGUAAGAAUAAGCACCGGCUAACUACGUGCCAGCAGCCGCCGUAAAAC